rnacentral:rRNA from 1 species
CAGUAGCCGCGGUAAUACGUAGGGUGCAAGCGUUAAUCGGAAUUACUGGUCGUAAAGCGUGCGCAGGCGGUUAUAUAAGACAGAUGUGAAAUCCCCGGGCUCAACCUGGGAACUGCAUUUGUGACUGACGGGCUAGAGUAUGGCAGAGGGGGGUAGAAUUCCACGUGUAGCAGUGAAAUGCGUAGAGAUGUGGAGGAAUACCGAUGGCGAAGGCAGCCCCCUGGGCCAAUACUGACGCUCAUGCACGAAAGCGUGGGGAGCAAACAGGAUUAGAUACCCCCGUAGUCCCUGUCUCUUAUAC